rnacentral:lncRNA from 1 species
AUGAUUCCGCCUUUUAAUUGUUAAUUGCAUGCUAUAGAUGUUGCUUAAAUGAACAUGUUUUCACAAAAUUAUCCUUCAAGUGGUAUCAGAGCCUAGGUCUAGUAGUUGGUGAAUCCUUUUGGGUUUUGUAUUUUCAUAGUUUAUGAUUUGAAUGUUGUAAUUGUUACAAGCUUUAUUCUUGCUUCUUUGAAUGUAAAUUUUGCUAGAAAAUUUGCCAUCUCAAAUGUUGUAGAUGUAGUUCUCUUGAGCAUGAAUAUUGGAGCUAAAAUUUGGUGCCAUGACUUUGGGGAAAUUCGGCCAAAUCCAAAGGGUGGAUUUUUGGGUUCUUGUUUGACUUGUUAAAAGUGUUUUAAGGUGACUUUUGGAACCCCUAUGUACCCUAGUAUGGUUAUAUGUUAUUUCCCUUAAGUUUGAGUGGUUUUGGGAUUUCUUUGGAUGAAAAAUGUUCAUGGAGCUCUUAUGGGUUUUUUCAUGAAUGUUCUUCAUUGUUCUUGACAUUUUAGUCAAGAACAAAAAGUUUGAUGUUUUGAUUCAAAGUUUUGAUUUAUUUCAUAAAGUCUUUGUUUUGUGCUUUAUCAUAUGUUUUAAUGUGAUUGAAAUUGUGUAAGGUGAUAGAAAUGGUGAUGGGUGUGUAAGAAGUUCUUAACCACUUGCAUGAAUUUAUGUCACAAACCACUUGCAAGGCUUUAUGACUUAGUUGAAAAAAUUUCCAAAUUUUGUGGCUUCAAUUUUUUUUCCCUCCCUCUCUCCUAAAACCGGCCACCCUAUUAAAAUAAGGUAAUUUGGGGGUUUUAUGCAAUUACAUAAAGUUUUGAUACUUUUGUGUUUUUGCACUUUGACCCAAAAGUUUACGUAUUUACGUAAAGGCCCAAAAUCAUUAAAGGACAAAUUGUUUUGUUCCUUUAAUGAAGUUUUUGAAUUUGUUGAAAUUUUUGGGUUCUAGUUGUAAUUACAUGAAGUAGUGAACUUUUGUGUUUUUACAAAGUGAGCUCAAAAGUUUAAGUUUUGCAACAUAGCCCAAAGGUUGAGGUUAUUGCAUUUUGGCCCAAAUUAGGUUGAGAACAAAAUGGUUUUGUCUCUUUAAAUGAGAAUUG